AGCGGCGGGCAGCAGCCAUGUGCCCCGAAGCCCCUGGAGAAGAAGAGGUUGUCUUUUUCCUGCUAAUGCUGUAGACUUCAGGGGUUGGUUGUUAUCUUUGGUUAUCUAGCUGUAUGAGUGGUGUCAAUUCUUCAUAAAGCUAGAUAACCGAAAGUAAAAAUAACCCCAUUACACGCCUGAGGAGGAUGUGGAGAAGAAAGGAAAUUCAUCAAAAGGAAGAGGAGGAAAAGAAAAAAUGAAAUGGAAAAAAAGGAAGAGAAAAGAAAUGAGAGGCGGAAAAAAAAAAAACUGGGGAAAAAAGACAACUUUUUGAGACUGGAAUUAAAACCUGAGCAGCCUGAAGUCCGUCCUGCUGCAGCUCCAGGGAUGCCUUUUACACCAGGGAGGAGCGUGGGUUCACCCUACGUGAUGCUCUGCUCAUUGUCUGGCUGGCGAAUUGCAGUUCUUUGGCCCCAGUGAAAGUUCGCAGGCAAUUUCCUGAUGGGCUCAUUAUAACAUGAACCCAGGAGUGGGGGCUAUAUGGAAAAAACCCCACCCUCCAAAAGCCAUGAGACCCUGGCCAUGCAGAAGCUGCCAGCAGGACCUGUCUUGCAGGACCCUCAGCAGAAGCCCCUCACCACGGCUGAUCCUGUGUGCACCCUCCUCCUCCUCUUCCUCCUCCUGCCAGCAGACCCUGGCCUGGAUGUAGAUCAUUAUUUGCACCAGCAUCCACCCAGGCUGCUUGGGGCUGCCAGCCAGCACAGGGCUUCAGCGCGGGGACACCAGCACCGGUUCAGGGACAGAUGGGGUGGAGAAGACACCUGGACGUCCCUGUCCCGCUGUUGCGCAUCACCUCAUGGGCAGCUCACUGGCUAAUGCGAGGGCUGUUAAGGGCUUCAUUUGAAUAAAUAAGUGCACAGGUACAGGAGGAACAUCACCAUAACCCCCUGGAAACCCCAGUGCCAGCAAUGGCAUCAGAGGACUGGCGAGUGGGAGAAGGGGCUUGAUGUUAUAUAUUCCAUAAAGUAGAGUAAUUAAGUAUUACUAGUUUUGAUGACUUCAAACAGAGUGACUCCAGGAAAUAAGCCCCUUCUUUAUAAUUAGUGGGAUUUCCUCUGCAUCAAAUGGAGAGAUUGAUUCUUUAAUCUGCUCACAUGCUUUUGAUUUGGUCUUUCAGCUGCUUGUACCAACUGCUUCUACUCCCUGCUCUUGCCGAUAAAACCUUGCAAAGGAGAUUUUAGGAAAGCAUGACCUGAGUUGAGGUCUAGGGUUUUCUUUGUGUGUGGCUGUUUUGUGUAUUUUUAAUUUGCCAGACAUGAUGAUCAUGAUGAUAGCAAUAAUAAAAAAUAACAGACACACAGAUUUUUAACAUCCAUGUAUGUUUAGGUCAAAUAAUUAGGGUUUGGGGGGGUUUUUUGGUUAUUGUUUUCUCUUCCCAGCACACUUAUUGGCCCUGGUGCAUGCUCUUUAAGUCCUGCAAAGAUCAUCUUGGCUACCUGUCUGCAACAGCCCUGAGCUGUCCCAAGUGGGGCUUACUGCAAAAUGUUGCUCUUGUAGGAGAGCACAGACCUAACGCUGGGGUCUGGCCAGGCUUUCGGCAUUUCAAGGGCUGAGUUAAAAUAAGGACUUGAUUUCUUAAGGACUUGGGAUGUGCAGAGGAAAGAGGCCCCUUUUCUAGAGUAUUUCAAGUGUUUGGUCCUGAUUUAGGACUAAACCCAGGACCUUUGGAAGCUCUGUCUGAAAUCCCCCCAAACGUUGCUGCUUUCCAAAUGAAGAGUUCAGGAGGGAGCAGGAACUUGCCCCCCCUGCAAGUGCAAGAAGCCGAUUGUGAGCAACCGUCUCCUUCCUGGGCAUGUCUGUGGGGUCGGUGGCACCAUAUUGGUCGUAGGGAAAUGCAGUCUGGGGACUGUGCUGGUUCCAGGCACGGACUGAACCUACCCUGUGCUACCCCUGCCUCCAAAAUAGCUCAGAUCUUGAAUCAUUCCAGCAAUACCUGGCUGGAUUUCUUUCUGGCACAUGAGGUUCUUCUGGGACCGCUGAGGAGGAAAAAAAGGGGGAAAUUUGGGACUAUGUUGUUUUCCAUCCACUUUUUAGUCCUGUUGGAAUUGUGCAGCAUGGGCAAGAGAAAUGCUCAUGGUGCUGCACCUCGACUGCAUGCCAUCGGGUGAAAAUCGGAGGAUGCUGGCUCUGCAGGGAGUUGUCUGGGUAGCCGUAGAGCAGGGACUGGCAUCCCAACCACAACCCCCUCCUUUUUGGGACUGGCAUCGCUCUCCGUGCAUGUCUCACACACUAAUAGGGUGAGGAGAGCAAGCACGGGGCUGUCCCCACCACGGUUUGGUGGUCACAAGCCUGCAGGGAGGAGCCGUGGGAAGGCGGUCAUGCUUGAGCUCACCUGGAGCCAGGAUCAGGCCCAGGGGUGCGGGGGAUAACUGCAGAGGAGCCGGUUUAGUGUGCCCCUUGCAAGCCUCCCCUCGUCUGGAGCACUGUCGAACACAGAUCGUAUAAUUAGGGACCCAGUGAAUACGUAACUGUACAAUUAUGCAAAUAGUGAUCAAAAUCACUGUUUUCAGCAGAAAUGCCUGAAGAUCAAGACAGAAGCUUCAUGCAACCUUAAUUUAAUCUGGUCCUGCAGGAGUGGGGAGGUCUGAUGGAUGACCCAACCUCGUGCCUGCCUGUGAUUAGCAAAGCUGGGGUGGGAGGCGGGGGAGAGGAGUGCCAGAGCAUGCUAAGCAAGGGCUCGGCACGGCCAGCGAGAGGGAAAAAUGGCACUGGGAUCAUGUUAGCAUGUUGGCAAACCAGGAAAGAAAUAGCAGAAAUGGAAGGGCUGGUGUUUACAGUGAUUUUCUUUUUCUUUUGAUUUCAGGUGAAUAACACAAGGCUGGAAGAAAAAAAAGAAGAAAAGAAAGAAAAAAAAGUCUCCAAACCCAGGAAAUCUGUGUUAAUUGCUUAUGAAUGUCUCUGUCUAAAAAAUUAUUGAAUUGAUGUUGUCGUGCUUUUUUUUGACAGCCUGUCUGUUACUUUUUUUUUUAAAUAUUCAUGCACUGAAAUCUAAUUACUAGGCAAAUUUAAUGAUAAUGAAAUGAAGGCACUUUAGCAGAAAGCACAGGGCCUUGUUAAUGUUUUCUCAGCCUCUGUCUUGUUCAUAUUUUUAAAAUUUUUUUUUUUACAACUGCCUUUCUUGCAUAUAAAAAAAAAAGGAUUGCUGAAAAUAAAACUUGGAUUGCUGAAAA